rnacentral:piRNA from 1 species
UGCUGCACUCAGAGUACCAGUGGGAGC